rnacentral:rRNA from 1 species
UACACAUGCAGUCGAGCGGGGAAGGGUAGCUUGUACUGACCUAGCGCGGACGGGUGAGUAAUGCUUAGGAAUCUGCCUAUUAGUGGGGGACAACAUUCCGAAAGAAUGCUAAUACCGCAUACGCCCUACGGGGAAAGCAGGGGAUCUUCGGACCUUGCGCUAAUAGAUGAGCCUAAGUCAGAUUAGCUAGUUGGUGGGGUAAAGGCCUACCAAGGCGACGAUCUGUAGCGGGUCUGAGAGGAUGAUCCGCCACACUGGGACUGAGACACGGCCCAGACUCCUACGGGAGGCAGCAGUGGGGAAUAUUGGACAAUGGGCGC